GCGCCAUCAGACACUCCUACGGGAGGCAGCAGGCGCCAUCAGACACUCCUACGGGAGGCAGCAGGCGCCACCAGACACUCCUACGGGAGCUAG
rnacentral:rRNA from 1 species